CUACGUGCCAGCAGCCGCGGUAAUACGUAGGGCGCGAGCGUUGUCCGGAAUUAUUGGGCGUAAAGGGCUUGUAGGCGGUUGGUCGCGUCUGCCGUGAAAUUCUCUGGCUUAACUGGGGGCGUGCGGUGGGUACGGGCUGACUUGAGUGCGGUAGGGGAGACUGGAACUCCUGGUGUAGCGGUGGAAUGCGCAGAUAUCAGGAGGAACACCGAUGGCGAAGGCAGGUCUCUGGGCUGUAACUGACGCUGAGGAGCGAAAGCAUGGGGAGCGAACAGGAUUAGAUACCCUGGUAGUCCAUGCCGUAAACGUUGGGCACUAGGUGUGGGGGCCACCCGUGGUUUCUGCGCCGUAGCUAACGCUUUAAGUGCCCCGCCUGGGGAGUACGGCCGCAAGGCUAAAACUCAAAGGAAUUGACGGGGGCCCGCACAAGCGGCGGAGCAUGCGGAUUAAUUCGAUGCAACGCGAAGAACCUUACCAAGGCUUGACAUGC
rnacentral:rRNA from 1 species